AUCAAAUUGUCCACAAGUAGUAUAUUUCCUAUCAAUUAAUCAUGCAUCAACAGAAAAACCCUUGGCCUCUAUAGGAAAAAUAUUCCUGAAUGUCUUUGUUCUUAUAUGUCUAUAACUUGAUAAAUCAAUUUAAUCAACUUCUUAAAUUUAACUUUGUAUGUGACUAAUUAUUAAUUCUUCAAGGAGCACAUCUUGUCUCCUCCAUCUGUACAAGGACCUUUGUAUAUAACACUAACAUAGUGUUCUAUUAUUUCUUACAGUUGGAGCUUGUUAAGAACAUUGUUGAUAAUUUUUUUGCAGGCCAUGUUUUCUUGUCAAACCAUAGAAGCAAAUGAAGCAACAAUUAAAUUUUCAACAAAGCUACAGAGAUUCUUUCAUCUUGAUGAGAAGCAAACUCUUAUGGAGUUCAUUGCCUUCUCCAAUUGCUUCCAUGGAAGGACCAUUGGUGUUGUUGCUCUGACAAGGAAAGAACAUUACAGGUGUUGUCUUUGUCGAACCAAUCCAAGGUGACGGUGGCAUUUCUAGUGCGACAAAAGCAUUUUUACAAGCACUGAGGACUACUUGUCAUAGUGCAGGUUCUCUUUUUAUCUUUGAUGAGGAUGACCAAGCAUAAUUCAACACUAAUGCAGUAGAAGUACUACUGGGAGAAGAAUUUUAUAAAAUUACUUGUAGGAUUAGAAUACAAUGACUUUGUUUGUAGAUAUAUAUAUUUUUGACAAGAGGUGG